AUGCCGCUGGAACUGCUGCAAGCCGGCGAGGGGAUGUGCAAGGCCAGCCCGCUGCAAGAGCCGACACGCACUGGUGCAAAACGCAACUGCCGGUGCUGCAGGGCCACGGGCGCCGAUGCUGCAGAUGGGUGUGCCAGUGCUGACAACAGACCGCCCGUCGCACGACGUGCCGCAACGGGGGCUGACGGUGCUCCAUCUGUGGCUCAAGGGAGCAGCCGGUGCUCUAGCCAGGGGAACAGGAACAUCACGGGGACCACCCGGUGCUGCCAUGGAGCUGCAAUGGAGCGUCGGCGAGGGGCCUCCAGUGCUGCCACAGAGCAUACCCGGCGCUACAAUGGAGCAGUAAUGGAGCGUCACCUGGCUAUCGGUGCUUCCAUGGAGCAUGGCCGCUGCUGCUAUGGCAAAGCUGCUAUGAAGUGA
rnacentral:rRNA from 1 species